rnacentral:rRNA from 1 species
AGGGCACCACCAGGAGUGGAGCCUGCGGCUUAAUUUGACUCAACACGGGGGAACUCACCCGGCCAGGACACAAUAAGGAUUGACAGAUUGAUAGCUCUUUCUUGAUUUUGUGGGUGGUGGUGCAUGGCCGUUCUUAGUUGGUGGAGCGAUUUGUCUGGUUAAUUCCGAUAACGAACGAGACUCUAGCCUAUUAAAUAGACGAUAUAUCGUCUUCGUAUAUCGAGCUUCUUAGAGGGACGAGCAGCUUCUAGCUGCACGAGAUUGAGCAAUAACAGGUCUGUGAUGCCCUUAGAUGUCCGGGGCUGCACGCGCGCUACAAUGAAAAUAGCAGCGCGUGUCGAAAACCUUUUCUGGAAAGAAUUGGUAAACGCGAAAUAUUUUCGUGAUAGGGAUAGGGGAUUGAAAUUAUUGCCCUUGAACGAGGAAUUCCCAGUAAAUUCGAGUCAUCAGCUCGAGUUGAUUACGUCCCUGCCCUUUGUACACACCGCCCGUCGCUACUACCGAUUGGAAGAUUGAGUG